rnacentral:lncRNA from 1 species
AUAUGCGCUAUAUAUAUGCGAUAUACAUAUGCGCUAUAUAUAUGCGAUAUACAUAUGCGCUAUAUAUAUGCGAUAUACAUAUGCGCUAUAUAUAUGCGAUAUACAUAUGCGCUAUAUAUAUGCGAUAUACAUAUGCGCUAUAUAUAUGCGAUAUACAUAUGCGCUAUAUAUAUGCGAUAUACAUAUGCGCUAUAUAUAUGCGAUAUAUGCGCUAUAUAUAUGCGAUAUACAUAUGCGCUAUAUAUAUGCGAUAUACAUAUGCGCUAUAUAUAUGCGAUAUACAUAUGCGCUAUAUAUGCGAUAUACAUAUGCGCUAUAUAUGCGAUAUAC